AAAUAAUUAAAGAGACAACUCAUAAUACAUAAUUAUUAGGGAAUUGUCAUUCAAUUAAUUGGAAUUCCCAAAUCUCAUCACACACGAAAACCAAACCAAGAACAUAACAGAUGCAGAUCCGAUUGUAUCAUGAUUCAUAACAAGAAACACAGAUUUAGCCUUAGGGACCAACGAAAACAUGAUCUGCCAAGUAAUACAAAGAUAAUUAUUAUAAUUGAGGGUAUAAAAAUGAAG
rnacentral:misc_RNA from 1 species